GGUUGAGCUCCUCCCAUUUCUGACUUCUGAGUCACAGCAAGAACCCUCCAGAAAUCCUCUCCCAGUGAAUGAUUAUGAGACACAAUCAUUUUGAAGCAGCCGCUGAAUAAGGUAAACUCAUUAAUGAGGACUCCAGAAGAAAUGAUGAGUAUUAAGUGUAUCUUCAUUCCACUUCUAGCACUGGCCCUUCCAGGGCGUGUGAAAGCAGACUGGAUCAGACCCCAGGAGACUAGAGUAUCUGGAAUGGAGGGAAAGACUGUGAGCCUCCUUUGUAACUAUUACACUUCAUAUACGGGCUACAUUGAUCUCUUUUGGUAUCGACAGUAUCCAAAUCAGGCACCAGAAUAUAUUCUCUACAGAGGGUGGGGAUACUCUGGAAAAGGAUUUGCCAGUUUUGCCACGGAAAAGUUUUAUUCAGAGAACACAGCAAAUACAACAAUCUUGUACAUCAGGAAGGUGGUGCCUGCAGAUGCUGCCCUGUAUCACUGCGCUCUGAGGAGGCACAGAGAGGCGACUGCAUAGGGCUGCCGUACAAGAACAGCAGCACACAGGAGGAAGCAGAAGGCAGCACACAAAACCACACUGAACUGUUUUCUUCUGCAAGACCUCAUGGGCACUUAGAGAUCUUGAACCAGGAAAAUUCUGCUCUAACUGUAUAAUAGCUGUUUAGUUGUAGGCACAUAGCUUAAGCUUUUGGAAUUCUCAUUUCCCUACAUUAGAGCUAAUAAUUUAAGCUAUGAGGCAUGGUCUUGAACCCUUGGGUUAAGUGCCUGGCAUCUCCUGGGUGCUCAGCAAAUGGACUUUUUGUCUUUUUCUCAGUAACUAUUUGGCCUCAUAGGAUCUUUCUAUCAAUAUCUCUUUUUUAUGCCACACUGGCAAGAAAAAUAGUAAUAAUAAAAAAUUAAAACCCUGAAAACACAGCUCCAGCACCCAGAGGCGGCUUCUUUCCCAGGGGUCCCGUGUAAACACGCCAGGCAUGGAUGUACACAGUUAGCAAGUCCAACCCUUACAGAACAAAAGGGGCCUGACACGCAUCCCUGAGCUCAUGGCCACGGGCAGUUCGGUAUUUCUCAAGCUGUGAACAGGAACAGGAGCUAGUUCCUCACAAGACCAAAGGGAAGAGGAGGAGGAGGUUUGGCAUUAGGUGGUGGAUGAGGAGGAAGACACUGCUUGAGUGGCCAUCACCAGGCUAUUGUGUCAGCUCUUACUUUUCCAGGUGGAGACGGGAGGCCAUGUGAGUGAGUGGAAUCCUCGCACAGGAUGCUUGAGCCUGAGGGCACCUGCACCUGCUAUGAUGGUUCAAACCACACUUCUAACUGACUACUACCAUCCAAUCCUUCUCUGGGCAAAGCCUCGAGUUUUUGUUUGCACAGGUGUUGGUUGGGAUGGAAAAGACAAAGGAAGAUUUAGAGCCUUAUUCAGUAUACAGUGUGUCUGCCCUGGCAGCCUUCAGCUUUCAGGCUGCAAACCUUGAGCUCCUGCACUUCAUGGUGAAACUUAUAUCAGCCCCACUGAGGCUGGAUAAGUGCACUAGCCAUUAGCCAUGAAGAAGGACUUGGAAAUAAGAGAGCGAAUCAGAUUUAUUUAUUUAUUUAUUUAUUUAUUUUUUGCUUUUUAGGGCUGCACUGAAGGCAUAUGGAAGUUCCCGGGCUAGGGGUCUAAUCAGAGUUACAGCUGCUGGCCUCCGCCACAGUCACAGCAAUGCAGGAUCCCAGCCGGUCUGCAACCUACACCACAGUGCAGCACCACACCAUACCACGGCAACAAUGGAUCCUUAACCCAACGAGUGAGGCCAGGAAUCAAACCUGCAACUUCGUGGUUCCUAGUCAGAUUCGUUUCCACUGUGCCCCAAUGGGAAUUCCCCAGGUUUUUUUUUUGGGGGGGGGGUUGUUUGUUUGUUUUAAUGUUUCCUUUUACAAAAAGAAGCUUGAGUUUUAAAAGGUUAAGAAAUUCUGUGGUUAGAAAAUAAUUUGUAGAGAUCUGCUUAAAGCUAUCUUCUUUAAAAAACUGAGCUCUGAGACUAUUGCUCAAGAAGGUGUAAAAGAAUUUAAGGAGAGUAAGCCCUCUUCACUUCAGCUUGUGGAAAAUUGUUCUUAGUGUACUCUGUUGGUGACAAUACAACGUAUUGGUAUGUCUUUACAUAGUGAGCAACUUGGAAAGGGAUCCCAAGAUUCAUUUAAAU
rnacentral:lncRNA from 1 species